rnacentral:rRNA from 1 species
AUACGGGGGAUUCAAGCGUUAUCCGGACUUAUUGGGUUUAAAGGGUGCGUAGGCUGAUAAAUCAGUCAGCGGUGAAAUUUACGGGCUUAACUUGUAGCUUGCCGUUGAAACUAUUUAUCUAGAGAUAUUUCGGCGUAUGCGGAAUGUAUCAAGUAGCGGUGAAAUGCAUAGAUAUGCUACAGAACACCAAUCGCGAAGGCAGCAUACGAGGCAUCAUCUGACGCUGAUGCACGAAAGCGUGGGGAUCAAACAGGAUUAGAUACCCUGGUAGUCCACGCAGUAAACGAUGAUUACUCGCUGUUUGCGAUACACAGUAAGCGGCUUAGCGAAAGCGUUAUGUAAUCCACCUGGGGAGUACGUUCGCAAGAAUGAAACUCAAAGGAAUUGACGGGG